AUUGAACGCUGGCGGCAUUCUUUACACAUGCAAGUCGAACGAGUGGCGGACUGGUGAGUAAUAUAUAGGAACCUGCCUAAUGGCGGGGGAUCACUACUAGAAAGCGUGGCUAAUACCGCAUACCAUAGGAGCUGCGGCUAUCGGAUUAGCUAGUUGGUGGGGUAAAGGCUCAACAAGGCAACGAUCCCUCGCUGGUUUGAGAGUACGACCGGCCACACUGGGACUGAGACAUGGACCAGACUCAUACGGGAGGCAGCAGUGGGGAAUUUUGGACAAUGGGGGAAAACCUGAUCCAGCCAUCCCGCGUGUAUGAGAAGGCCUUCGGGUUGUAAAGUACUUUUGGCAGGGAAGCGGUAUCUGCAGAAUAAGCACCGGCUAACGACGUGCCAGCAGCGGCGGUAAUAC
rnacentral:rRNA from 1 species